GCCGCUGUGGACCAUGGAGGUCGCCCUCGCCCAAUGCUGAGUUGUACGAGACAGAUCUUACAGAGGGAGAUGGAGGUUCGAUUCCUCCCGGCAGCA